rnacentral:rRNA from 1 species
UUAAGCGACUAAGCGUACACGGUGGAUGCCCUGGCAGUCAGAGGCGAUGAAGGACGUGCUAAUCUGCGAUAAGCGUCGGUAAGGUGAUAUGAACCGUUAUAACCGGCGAUUUCCGAAUGGGGAAACCCAGUGUGUUUCGACACACUAUCAUUAACUGAAUCCAUAGGUUAAUGAGGCGAACCGGGGGAACUGAAACAUCUAAGUACCCCGAGGAAAAGAAAUCAACCGAGAUUCCCCCAGUAGCGGCGAGCGAACGGGGAGCAGCCCAGAGCCUGAAUCAGUGUGUGUGUUAGUGGAAGCGUCUGGAAAGGCGCGCGAUACAGGGUGACAGCCCCGUACACAAAAAUGCACAUAUUGUGAGCUCGAUGAGUAGGGCGGGACACGUGGUAUCCUGUCUGAAUAUGGGGGGACCAUCCUCCAAGGCUAAAUACUCCUGACUGACCGAUAGUGAACCAGUACCGUGAGGGAAAGGCGAAAAGAACCCCGGCGAGGGGAGUGAAAAAGAACCUGAAACCGUGUACGUACAAGCAGUGGGAGCACGCUUAGGCGUGUGACUGCGUACCUUUUGUAUAAUGGGUCAGCGACUUAUAUUCUGUAGCAAGGUUAACCGAAUAGGGGAGCCGAAGGGAAACCGAGUCUUAACUGGGCGUUAAGUUGCAGGGUAUAGACCCGAAACCCGGUGAUCUAGCCAUGGGCAGGUUGAAGGUUGGGUAACACUAACUGGAGGACCGAACCGACUAAUGUUGAAAAAUUAGCGGAUGACUUGUGGCUGGGGGUGAAAGGCCAAUCAAACCGGGAGAUAGCUGGUUCUCCCCGAAAGCUAUUUAGGUAGCGCCUCGUGAAUUCAUCUCCGGGGGUAGAGCACUGUUUCGGCAAGGGGGUCAUCCCGACUUACCAACCCGAUGCAAACUGCGAAUACCGGAGAAUGUUAUCACGGGAGACACACGGCGGGUGCUAACGUCCGUCGUGAAGAGGGAAACAACCCAGACCGCCAGCUAAGGUCCCAAAGUCAUGGUUAAGUGGGAAACGAUGUGGGAAGGCCCAGACAGCCAGGAUGUUGGCUUAGAAGCAGCCAUCAUUUAAAGAAAGCGUAAUAGCUCACUGGUCGAGUCGGCCUGCGCGGAAGAUGUAACGGGGCUAAACCAUGCACCGAAGCUGCGGCAGCGACGCUUAUGCGUUGUUGGGUAGGGGAGCGUUCUGUAAGCCUGUGAAGGUGUGCUGUGAGGCAUGCUGGAGGUAUCAGAAGUGCGAAUGCUGACAUAAGUAACGAUAAAGCGGGUGAAAAGCCCGCUCGCCGGAAGACCAAGGGUUCCUGUCCAACGUUAAUCGGGGCAGGGUGAGUCGACCCCUAAGGCGAGGCCGAAAGGCGUAGUCGAUGGGAAACAGGUUAAUAUUCCUGUACUUGGUGUUACUGCGAAGGGGGGACGGAGAAGGCUAUGUUGGCCGGGCGACGGUUGUCCCGGUUUAAGCGUGUAGGCUGGUUUUCCAGGCAAAUCCGGAAAAUCAAGGCUGAGGCGUGAUGACGAGGCACUACGGUGCUGAAGCAACAAAUGCCCUGCUUCCAGGAAAAGCCUCUAAGCAUCAGGUAACAUCAAAUCGUACCCCAAACCGACACAGGUGGUCAGGUAGAGAAUACCAAGGCGCUUGAGAGAACUCGGGUGAAGGAACUAGGCAAAAUGGUGCCGUAACUUCGGGAGAAGGCACGCUGAUAUGUAGGUGAAGCGACUUGCUCGUGGAGCUGAAAUCAGUCGAAGAUACCAGCUGGCUGCAACUGUUUAUUAAAAACACAGCACUGUGCAAACACGAAAGUGGACGUAUACGGUGUGACGCCUGCCCGGUGCCGGAAGGUUAAUUGAUGGGGUCAGCGCAAGCGAAGCUCUUGAUCGAAGCCCCGGUAAACGGCGGCCGUAACUAUAACGGUCCUAAGGUAGCGAAAUUCCUUGUCGGGUAAGUUCCGACCUGCACGAAUGGCGUAAUGAUGGCCAGGCUGUCUCCACCCGAGACUCAGUGAAAUUGAACUCGCUGUGAAGAUGCAGUGUACCCGCGGCAAGACGGAAAGACCCCGUGAACCUUUACUAUAGCUUGACACUGAACAUUGAGCCUUGAUGUGUAGGAUAGGUGGGAGGCUUAGAAGUGUGGACGCCAGUCUGCAUGGAGCCGACCUUGAAAUACCACCCUUUAAUGUUUGAUGUUCUAACGUUGACCCGUAAUCCGGGUUGCGGACAGUGUCUGGUGGGUAGUUUGACUGGGGCGGUCUCCUCCUAAAGAGUAACGGAGGAGCACGAAGGUUGGCUAAUCCUGGUCGGACAUCAGGAGGUUAGUGCAAUGGCAUAAGCCAGCUUGACUGCGAGCGUGACGGCGCGAGCAGGUGCGAAAGCAGGUCAUAGUGAUCCGGUGGUUCUGAAUGGAAGGGCCAUCGCUCAACGGAUAAAAGGUACUCCGGGGAUAACAGGCUGAUACCGCCCAAGAGUUCAUAUCGACGGCGGUGUUUGGCACCUCGAUGUCGGCUCAUCACAUCCUGGGGCUGAAGUAGGUCCCAAGGGUAUGGCUGUUCGCCAUUUAAAGUGGUACGCGAGCUGGGUUUAGAACGUCGUGAGACAGUUCGGUCCCUAUCUGCCGUGGGCGCUGGAGAACUGAGGGGGGCUGCUCCUAGUACGAGAGGACCGGAGUGGACGCAUCACUGGUGUUCGGGUUGUCAUGCCAAUGGCACUGCCCGGUAGCUAAAUGCGGAAGAGAUAAGUGCUGAAAGCAUCUAAGCACGAAACUUGCCCCGAGAUGAGUUCUCCCUGACCCUUUAAGGGUCCUGAAGGAACGUUGAAGACGACGACGUUGAUAGGCCGGGUGUGUAAGCGCAGCGAUGCGUUGAGCUAACCGGUACUAAUGAACCGUGAGGCUUAACCUU